CGUCAGCUAGCUUAUCAGACUGGUGUUGGCUGUUGUAUUGCCAUGGCAACACUAGUUUGUAAGCUGGCUGAAG
rnacentral:pre_miRNA from 1 species